CUACGGGCCGCUCCAGUCGAGAAUAUUGGACAAUGGGCGAAAGCCUGAUCCAGCGACGCCGCGUGCUUGAAGAAGCCCUUCGGGGUGUAAAAAGCUUUUCUGGAGGAUGAAGUUUUUCUGACAGUACUCCAGGAAUAAGUGGAGCCUAAUUCUGUGCCAGCAGGCGCGGUAAUUCAGAAUCCACAAGCGUUAUCCGGAUUUAUUGGGCGUAAAGAGUCUGUAGGCGGCUAGAAAAGUCUUUGGUUAAAUACCCAGAGCUUAACUUUGGGAAUGCCAGAGAUACUGUCUAGCUAGAGGGCGUUAGAGGCUGAUGGAACGGUCGGUGUAGGGGUGGAAUCCGUUGAUAUCGACCGGAACACCAAAAGCGAAGGCAUUCAGCUGGGGCGACCCUGACGCUGAGAGACGAAAGCGUAGGUAGCAAAAAGGAUUAGAUACCCCGGUAGUC
rnacentral:rRNA from 1 species